GACGAACGCUGGCGGCGUGCCUAAUACAUGCAAGUAGAACGCACUUGCGAGCGGGUGAGUACCCCGUAGGUAACUGCCUGGUAGCGGGGGCUAACUAUUGGAAACGAUAGCUAAUACCGCAUACUACCAGAUGGACCUGCGUUGUAUUAGCUAGUUGGUGAGGUAACGGCACACCAAGGCAACGAUACAUAGCCGAACUUGGAGGGAGGUCGGCCACACUGGGGCUGAGACUCGGCCCAGACGUCUACGGGAGGCAGCAGUAGGUAAUCUUCGGCAAUGGGGGUCACCCUGACCGAGCAACGGCGCGUGAGGGAAUAAGGUUUUCGGAGCUUAAAGGUCUGUUGUUAAGGAAGCGGUACUAACCCAGAAAGGGACGGCUAACUACGUGCCAGCAGCCGCGGUAAUAC
rnacentral:rRNA from 1 species